AACCUGGAAACAGAUGCUAAUACCGGAUAACAACACUAGACGCAUGUCUAGAGUUUAAAAGAUGGUUCUGCUAUCACUCUUGGAUGGACCUGCGGUGCAUUAGCUAGUUGGUGGGGUAACGGCUCACCAAGGCGACGAUACAUAGCCGACCUGAGAGGGUGAUCGGCCACACUGGGACUGAGACACGGCCCAGACUCCUACGGGAGGCAGCAGAG
rnacentral:rRNA from 1 species